UGUCUUCUCUAGCGCAUAUAUGAGAUGCACCCGCCUUUGUUCCUUAAAUCCGGGUGUGACAGGGUUGCCGAAGGUAUCAACUACUACGACAACGACUCCUAGAAAGAGGAGAAUGGCUAGUGUUUUGGAUGCUGUUUUACAAUUUACUAAGACGCCAACUUCUGCUUUUGCCGGAGCUUUUGACAAGAAGACUGAAGAUGCAAGAGAAGUGACCACUGCAAGCGCCACUUCUAUUCAUGUUGAAACAGGGCCUUCGGGGGCUGCGCCAGUAGAGAUGAUGAAAGAAAGUCUUCCAGUAAAACCCACGUCACCUAUUCCCGAAGUACCUCUCCAGGGUGAUUUGGACUAUAUUAUUCAACAUGCUUUAGGGAAGCGACUAUCUGAAGAGCAGAUUGCCGAAGUGCAACACUAUGCUAAGGAACUAAAAUACCCCCAAGGGUCCUUGGUAUACGGAGGAGACAACGAAGAUGACUUCUUUUACUGUCUACCAGAUAGUAAGGACAUCAGUAUUUGCCAUGAGAUGAUGGACAACAUGGGUUAUCCGAAGCUUGAGCGUGGUCUGUCUAUGAUGACGAAGGACCAGCUUGGAGAUAGCCUCGCCUACAACACCUUGAAGUUUUAAAAGCUCAAAAAGAUGCAGAAGAUGAGAGCAGCCAAAUAGCAAUUGGAAACCUUCAAAAGGAUAAGAUUCUUCUCUCUUUGGUGGAGAGAUUAAAAUCUAGUGAUGCCAGGCUUUCUAGCCUUUCUGAAGCAAACAAGAGGAUAAAGAAGGCGGAAAAGAGACAAUUGAAAGAUGUGAAGCGCAUUGCUGAUCUUGGAGUAUGCGUUGUCCACUCAAGUGGAAUUGCAUAGAACCGAAGUGCAAGAAUUAGAAAAGAAACUUAACAAAGUAACUGAAAAUUUCAAUGUGGAACAAACAAAGCGUGAGAUAUCUGACAUGGAACAGUUAAGGGUGCAGAAAAAUAUUGAGGAGCUUCGUCAAGCUAAAGAGGAAUGCAACAAUGUUGCCAAGGAAUGAGCUAAUAAUUUCAAAAAUAGUUUUACUAAGGUUGGCGCAUUCUCCUCAUAGCAGAACUUUAUUCGCGGUGAUCCUGACGGGGUUAUCUAGUGGAUUAACGGUGAAGCCAAAGCUUUUAAGGAGAUUCUCAAUGAUAGGGGAGACUUCUCCGCUUUUGCCAGCGCCUGUGGGGCCGUGUCGGUCCUUGAAAAGGUUGGCUGCGAAUAUGCCAAGGCUGUGGUUCAGCCAUGAUUCUUGCUCUCAACCAACGAUGUUAGAAACCCAUCGGCUGAAGCCACUACACUAAGUGGAAAGUUUUAUUCCGAAGUAUGGCUGAAGGGUAGCCGAGAGAUAGCUGCUGAAGUAAUCAGAAAGAAUGAGAAAGAGCCUCAUGAUGCCUUGGAAGUGGCCAGAAGAACUAAAGAAGCUACUGAAUGUGCCAGACUUAUAGCUGAGCUCUCUCCCCCUCCAGAGCCAUACGAUACUGAAACUGAUCCAUAUCUGAAGGGGGCGCUUGACAUAAUUAGAAUAGCUUACGAAGCCGUUGACGAAGCUGUUAACAGACAACUAGACGAAGCUGCUAACAAAAUUUUAAAAGAUGACUAGGGCCUAUCUAUUGAGAAUUAGAAUCUUUGCAUGUAGUUUUGUUUUUGUAAGAAACAAUUACCAACUAUCUGUAUAUUUAAUGAUGUAAUAUAUUUCUUUGUGAGGC